GCCAUAUGUUGUUUGCACAUUAUCAAGAUUUAUCAUGACUCAAACAGCUGCAAUAAUGUGAUGUAGAGUUCCUAGGUCACUACUGCUAGAUAUCAUGCCGUUAUCCGAACUACGGAAAUCAAUGUCAAAUGUGAUGUAACUGCGAGCAAUGGAACUGCAGUUUUGUUACUGGAUGUGAGGAUGGGUCACCAACGAUAUCACCAAGCACUACAAAAACGUCUUUUACCGUAUAUUCAUUGACUAAAACUCAGUGUGUCAAGAACGGCUUAAC